AAAGCAAAAAAUACAAAAAUGCACAAAUGGCAAAUGUAAAGCAAAGCGAAAAUGCGGUGCAAAGGGGAAGGAGAAGAAAAGGGCAAAACAAAAAGGAUGAAAGCAAAUAAAGGAACCGGUUGUUAUUCAUUUUAAAUUUGCACAUCUUGUUUUUCAGCCUGCCUUCUUUCUUCGACUGCUUCAUCUCCUUCUGCGCCUUCUUCCCUUUUCGCUGAUUUUUUGUGUUCUCUCUUCCUUCUUCGCUCCUUCUCUUCUCUUUCCCCUCACUCAAACACUCAUUUCGUCUUUUUUGCCGCUUCCUUUGCUUUAGUAACUUUAAUUUGUUGGCAUUGCCAUUGCCGUUAUACUGGCCAUCCUCUCUUUCUCGCAAUCUAUCGCUCCCUUUCGCACUGUCUUGCCCUUUCACUCAUUGCUCUAUUAUCGUUACACAGCCAAAAAAAAUGGGUAGCUCUUAGAGUAAAAAUAAUAUCAAUAUGUUAUAAAUCAAUAAGGCUCAUUUAUCAAGAGAAGAUUUCUCUUCACAUUUGUUGCAAAAUGUUUUAUUUAUAGAAAACUAAUUAAAAUACAUAUACCGAGAAAUAUUUUUUUGUGUAUUUUUUGGUUAAGUCGGUUCUAUUUUCCUUUGAUUUUCUUUAUGAUUCGCUUAAUGAUUCUCUGUUUUCGCCAGUAAGUUGGUAAAUGACAGAAGGGCGGAAAAAUAGGGAAAGGGCAUAUUCACUAAGUUUUCACUGGUGAAUCACUAAAAGAACUUUUCGCACUGUGUAGCCACUUUGCCGUUGGGGUUUCUUUUCUGGAUUUUUUUCCUUUCCUCCACUUUAUUUUUGGGAUUUUCGCUUCUGAUGUCGUUACAGUUGUUGUUGUUGUAGCCGGCAUUUAGCCGUUUCGGGGAAAAAAAACAAAAUUUAGCCAAAUUACUGUCCCCAGUUAUUUAGCCCCCUUUUUCCACCCAUUUCGCAUGCACUUGAAAAAAAAACGCGUACGUUUGUCAAGAUAUACAAGUUUUGCAAUGCUUUUCAAACAAUUUUAUAUAUUAAUUUAUAUAAAUAUAUUAUUAAUUUAAUGUUUAUUCAUGCUUAAACAAAAUAUGCUAAAGUACAUCGAGUUUUUGAGAAGUGCAUGAAAAAAUGAAACUUGUAGUUUCUGGAAAAUUCGCAUGUUUGAAAGUUUUGAUGUCCUUUGUGUGUGAGUGUAUGCGUGUGUGCAUGUGUGUGUUUGUGUGUCGCCAUUUGCCUUUCUCAGCGUCUUUGGUUUUGACAUUUUGCCUCCUUUACUAAAGCCCCACCCCCACCCACUCCUUUACCUACCCCACCACACCCCUUAGUCACCAACUUCCUACGGCAAACAGUUUUUGGUCGUAGUCAACCGCAUUAAUCCAUCCCCAUCUCUCUCUGUGUGUGUGUGCGUGUGCGUGUGUGUGUGUGUUUGUGGCACAAAAUGAAAAUGGCAAAACAAGGUCAAGUGUAGGGAGCAAAGUUUGUUUGAGUGCACACACACGCACACACAAACUACAUACAAAUAAGCAAAUAACACAAAAAUAAGAAACAUUAAGUUCACAUCACUUUUUCAUCAAGAGAUGCUUUUUAGUUUCAUAACUUAAUACAUUUUAAAUGAAUAAACUAUAAGUUUGUGAUGCCAAAAAUAUAUUUCUUAAGAAAAACCACAUGAAAUUGUUUUUGUUUUUUCUUGUAAUAUAUUUAAGCUAAAUAAGUCCAACAAUGCGUCAUUAUUUUUUUUCUUGCUUUAAUAAAUAAACAAGUCGUUUCGAUUUUAAUCAGCUGGUGCAUCUAGACUAAGUGAAACAUACAUAAACAUGAAUGUACCAUACAUAUGUAUGUAUAUAUGUAUAUUAAGUUAUAUAAGUUAGAACAAGUGAAAUCGUUCGAUAAGGCUAAAAAAGAUGACAAAUGAAUUGAUUAACAAUUAAAUGAGGUUUUUUUUGGGUAUCAUUAUUGUACUGUUUUUUUUCUGUUUUCAUUGGUGCGGUUAUAUAUGUAUGUACAUACAUACAUAUGUAUGUACAUGCGUAUCAAGUUUUUUCAACUGUAAUAUGCGUAUAAUAACUUUGCGCUGAACCUGACGGAUUGACAGUCACUCGCUCUGCUCUGCCGGCGUCGACGUCGACUGCGCAACGACACCUGUGGCUAUGCGAAAAAGUCGACAAAAAAUGUGGAAAAAUAAAUGAAAUAAAAUAAAACAACCCUCGUCUGAGAUUUUGCUGCCAAUUUUUCGCAGGCCUAUGCAGUAAUUUACCCGCUCUCUUUCUCACUCUCAUUCUUCCUCCUGCUCUUUCUUUUCGUUUGCUCGAAAAAAGGUGUGACGUAGAAACCGAAAAAACACACAACCAAAACAAAGUAAAAAUAAAAGAAGUGGCAAGAAAAAAGCUUGGAAACAGCAGCUGAAAGUGUAACUAACAUACACACACACAUGAAAUUAUAUACCAAUAAACACACAGAGGAACAGACACACAGGUACGGGUACGCAAAAAAGGAAACCUAAAUAAAAAAAUUAAAUGGAAAUUUCUGAUAUAAAACACACACAUACUCGCACUCACACAGCGGAGCCGAGUGAAGUUUGGCAACGUGGCGCCGCAAACGCGCAGUCGCCAGAGAGCGACGCCGGCAGACACAAAAACAAACAGUAAGCAAUGUCGCACGCGUGAGUGAGACGGUCAGAUGGCGAGUGAGGUGGUUAAGUGAGGGAGCCAGUGCGUCAGAGAGUGUCCAGUGUUGUUUUUGCGCAGUCCCGCACGGCAACAGUGCACAGUGGGACAACUUGCGCAUAUCAAUAAUUAUUACUGUGACCCAUCAUCUAUUUCCUAUUCAUUCAUAGACUUAUGGUAUUUUAAGACAUUCUAAAGUCAGGUUUUUUAUUAAUAUACGAAUGUAUUUGCAUAUGCUUAAUCUCAUCAUUAAAAAUGAAUAUUAAAAUUAAUUACUGAAGAUGCCGCUUCAGCGAAAAUAAUCUUAAUAAAAUGUGUUCACAAUUGAUUAAUUAUAUAAUAAAUAUAUUGGUAAGCUACAUCUCGAUUUAGUUAAACACUGUUCCACUGUGCAACAGUAACUGGUUCACUAGAAGAGGGAGCAAAGAGCAAGAGCGGUUUGCAAAAAAAACAGGUACCCCUGUGACCAAUUUGAUGAGUUCUGUAAAUGAAAUUUUGAAUUAUGUCAAUCCAUUAGAUGUUCCUGUUACAAAUUUUAUGCCUAGCACUUUUUCUCGCUUGUGUAACAAUAUUUUAAUUUUAUUAACAUUUUAUGGAAAAUCUGACUAAAAUGCUUGAAUUUGCUAUGCGUGAAAUUAUUCACACCAAAAUGCAUUAAAUAUUCAGCAAAUUUCAUAUACCAAUAAUCAGAUGUCUUGCCAAAUUCGCCACUGGGUUUCAGUUUACCGCUUGGUUGCUUCUUCUUCUUGCACGCUCUUCUCUUCUUCUUCACCACGUCCCACUUCAUCACUCGAUCUCUUCCUCUUUGCGUUGGUACACAAAAAAACACAAUUUUUUUCGCUACAAUUUGACACACAAAGCAGCUGUCUGCAUAAGACCGCACACUCACACACAUUGCACAUAUAUUCAUUGCAUACAUACAUACAUUUGUUCAUAUUAUAUAUCUCACGCUGUGUUGCCAUAGAUACAAACAGACUCACGUAAUUUAUAUAUGUAUGUGCAUAUAUAUACAUUCGUAUGACUGAGCGGGAGGGAGAGAUGGCUAUGGUGAGCGGGAGAGGGCUAUUUGUUAUCUACUGCGCAUUGUCUUGACGUUGUUUGCGUAGUUGUCUGUAUGUUUGCAUGUAUGUAUGUGUGUAUGUUUGUGAAUGCGAAGAUGAAGCAGAAGUGGAAGAGCAAGAAGAAGCACAACAGCAUACCAAAUAACUAGCGCAGACGUAAAAGGGGCAAGAGAGAGCGAGAGAGGGAGAGCUCACCAGUUAACAUGACACGACCAACGUCAACAACAACAACGACAGCAACAACAAGUCAACAGAACAAACCGGCACAUUCAACUUAAGCACACACACACACACGCGAAGAGGAAUAAGAUGAUGAUGAUGAAGAGGGACAAGCGACUGAGACGCGAGUCUGAUGCGUGCAAGAGAGAGGGCAAAA